UGGGAUGACGUCAAAUCAUCAUGCCCCUUAUGUUCUGGGCUACACACGUGCUACAAUGGCCGGUACAGACGGACGCAAAGCCGCGAGGUGGAGCAAAUCCUAAAAAGCCGGUCUCAGUUCGGAUUGCAGGCUGCAAUUCGCCUGCAUGAAGUCGGAAUCGCUAGUAAUCGCAGGUCAGCAUACUGCGGUGAAUACGUUCUCGGGCCUU
rnacentral:rRNA from 1 species